GAUGAACGCUGGCGGCGUGCCUAAUACAUGCAAGUCGAGCGAAUGGAUUGAGAGCUUGCUCUUAUGAAGUUAGCGGCGGACGGGUGAGUAACACGUGGGUGACCUGCCCAUAAGACUGGGAUAACUCCGGGAAACCGGGGCUAAUACCGGAUAACAUUUUGAACCGCAUGGGUCGAAAUUGAAAGGCGGCUUCGACUGUCACUUAUGGAUGAGACCGCGUCGCAUUAGCUAGUUGGUGAGGUAAAGGCUCACCAAGGCAACGAUGCGUAGCCGACCUGAGAGGGUGAUCGGCCACACUGGGACUGAGACACGGCCCAGACUCCUACGGGAGGCAGCAGUAGGGAAUCUUCCGCAAUGGACGAAAGUCUGACGGAGCAACGCCGCGUGAGUGAUGAAGGCUUUCGGGUCGUAAAACUCUGUUGUUAGGGAAGAACAAGUGCUAGUUGAAUAAGCUGGCACCUUGACGGUACCUAACCAGAAAGCCACGGCUAACUACGUGCCAGCAGCCGCCGUAA
rnacentral:rRNA from 1 species